rnacentral:tRNA from 1 species
ACCGCGAUCGCUCAGCUGGUAGAGCUUGUGCCCGGUACGUAGAAGGUCGCUGGUUUGAUUCCGGCUUGCGGAG